rnacentral:tRNA from 1 species
GCCCCCGUAGCUCAGUGGAUAGAGCACCGGACUUCUAAUCCGAGGGUCGAGGGUUCGAAUCCCCCCGGGGGUACCA